rnacentral:tRNA from 6 species
AGCAGGGUAGUAAAAAGGUAUAACGCAAGUCUCUUUAGCUUGUAUUCCAGGUUCGAUUCCUGGUCCUGCAACCA